UACGAAGGUGGCAAGCGUUACUCGGAAUUACUAGGCGUAAAGGGCAGGUAGGUGGUUUGAUAAGUCUGUUGUGAAAGCUCCCGGCUCAACUGGGAGAGGCCAACAGAAACUAUCAGGCUUGAGUAUAGGAGAGGGUACUGGAAUUCCCGGUGUAGCGGUGAAAUGCGCAGAGAUCGGGAGGAACACCAAUGGCGAAAGCAGGUACCUGGACUAUUACUGACACUCAACUGCGAAAGCUAGGGGAGCAAACAGG
rnacentral:rRNA from 1 species